CAGUCGCCACGGUAAUACGUAGGGUGCAAGCGUUAAUCGGAAUUACUGGGCGUAAAGCGUGCGCAGGCGGUUUGUUAAGACAGAUGUGAAAUCCCCGGGCUUAACCUGGGAACUGCAUUUGUGACUGGCAAGCUAGAGUAUGGCAGAGGGGGGUGGAAUUCCGCGUGUAGCAGUGAAAUGCGUAGAUAUGCGGAGGAACACCGAUGGCGAAGGCAGCCCCCUGGGCCAAUACUGACGCUCAUGCACGAAAGCGUGGGGAGCAAACAGGAUUAGAUACCCCCGUAGUCCCUGUCUCUUAUAC
rnacentral:rRNA from 1 species